UAUCCUCUGCCGCCGGGCAGAAAACUGUGCAUCGGUUCCGUAUCGUUAGGCCUUAGAAGAUACGGGGUGACCGAUGUAUUUUCUU
rnacentral:ncRNA from 1 species